UCCAGUGUGACAGCGCAGGGGGCACGGUCCGUGCCACGGAGAGCUGUGGGUGCUUCUACUUCCAAUGCCGGGGGCUUUCCUGCGGGCUCAGCCCUGGCAGUGGUGAGUCCCAGGCCCUCCUCCUGGACGCCAUGCGGGGAUGAUGCAAGCUCCCCGACCAGGGAUCGAACCCGUGCCCCUUGCGGUGGAAGCGUGGAGUCUUAACCACUGGACCGCCAGGGAAGUCCCAGUACCUGGGAAUUUUUAAUGAGAAUGUCCUUGAUCUUCAUGUGAUGGCUCUGAGAUGGGUGAUAAAGAAGAUGGGGCAAUGGCAAGAAUGAAGAAGGCCCUGCACUUGUGAGCCAAGCAGAUGAGUGAAACUACAGCACAGAUCUUUGCUUAAAAUCAGUCAGCAGGAAAUUCCCCCCCCCAUGCUAAGCGUGGAUGUGCGUGGGAGAGAAGAAAUACAGGCUGUGCCUGUAUUUUCCGAAUUUUAAAAGUUAGUAUAUAUUAAUGACACACUGAAAAAUACCAUUUAAAGACUGAAGCAGUGCUGUAAUAUGGUAGACUAAGUUAUCUGGACCAAUCCUCCCAUUCAAACUAGAAAAUGAUGGAUAAAUGUUGAAAUGAGUCUUCUUAAAGGCAUCAGAAGGGUAACAAGGAGUAAAGAAUCACCAAAUCGGAACCUAACGGGAAGUACAUACAAAAAAAAAACUGAGUAGAGGCUGGGCUCUGAGAUGGCUUUUGCUUCCGGGCAUGGGCAAGUGUUGCCAUGUUUGACUUGGGUGUGACAGCCUCAAAGGGCAAGGAGAAAGCUCAGCAAAUCCAAGGCUGUCCCAGGUGGGAGCUACAGGGCCAUUCCCUGCAGAUGAAGCUGAGGUGCCAAGAGCUGUGCUUGAGGAUGAGGGUGCAGCAGAAGUAAGCCUGCUGCCCAGAACCUCGGGAACAGAGAAGGUCACCCCAGUGCCGAGCGGGGUAUGUGGGAAGGCAAGGUCCCUGAGAUACUGUAACCACAUCCAGGCUUUCCUUGGAUUCUCAGCCUCAAUUUACAUCACCUGGGUUGUCCAAAAGAAACUUAAGACACUAAUCUGGACUCAGGAUGUCAUGAGCUGGCAGUGUCCAAGGCUGUCUGGCAGAAGCAAAAGCAAUUACCCUUGGGAAAAAGAUGCUUUCGCUGAAAUCUUUCAAAGGUUAUUCACAAGCAGUUCUUCAAGGAUACGAGCAGCGUCACUGCAGCACAAACUGAUUAACAUACAUUAUUUAAGGACAAGACAAGCUUGAAAACGUCUGCAGGGAACUGAAAGCUAUAAAAGUGAUCCAGCAGAUUUGAGAAAAAUUGAAGCUCUGAAAAUUACUAAUCAUAAUAAAAAAUUAUAUGGACAAGUUAGACAGAUGUGAUGGGGCUGAGCAAACAAUCCAUGAACCAGCAGAUAAAAGGAGGAAUUAUCUAGAAUGCGGCACAGAGGGACAAACAGAGGGAAAACGGAGAAGAGAGGUUAACAGACCCAGGAGAAGAGAGGGACGAGGGGGCAACGGCAUCCUCUGAAGAGAGGAUGACAGAGAAAUCCCGGACCUGUAAGGCCACCACACACAGCCUCACGAGGACCAGCAAUUCCCAAGCAAAGUGAAUACAAAGAAAUAAAUGUCUAAACAUAUCUUAGUGAAACUGCAGGAUAAUGGAGAUGAAGAAAAAAAAAAAACGCAAAAGCAGGUGGAGAAAAAAAAUUACUUUCCAGAAAGAUCUUUAGAAAAUCUCCAAAUAUCUGGAAACGAAAUAACACACUUCUAAGUAGCCCAAGGGUCAAAGAAGAAAUCAAAAAGGGAAUCAGGAAGUAUCUUGAACUGAAUGAAAAUCAAAACAACAUAUUAAGAUUUGUAGGAUGCAGCUGAAGCAGAAUUAAAGGGAAAUGGAGAGCACUGACUUCUGAGAUCUCUCAAAUCAAUGAAUUGGAUUAGAAAUAAAUAACAGAAAGAUCUCCAAAUGUUUGGAAAUUAAACAGCACACUUUGACCCCAAAGAGGAGAAAGUUUUGCUUUCAGCCACGAUGGAGCAGAGAGACUGGGUUUCCCCUUUCCCCUCACAUGUUUAUUAAACUGGACAAAAUACAUGAAACAAGGGUUUUGAUGUCACUCCCUCCCUUGCCUUCCCUCUUCCCCUUCUCCCCCCAUCCUCUCCUUCUGUACUUAUUCCCUGCUUCAUUUCACAGAGCAUUUGAGGAAUGUCAUCAUGUUUAUCUCAUUAGAACAAAACCUCCUUGAAGCUGGUGGCUGGGUCUUCUGUUUUGUGUCUCAUGUGUCCUGGUACAACAUCCCCGCAUUGUGGUAACCAAUUAAUGUUGUUAAAUGAAAUGAUCGUCAGCCAAUUCAAAACCGUGACCCCACUUUGCAGCACAGAGAAUCUCUUAAAUUUGUAUUUUGCUUUUUACUUUUCUAAGCUUUUUAAA